AACGAACGCUGGCGGCAGGCCUAACACAUGCAAGUCGAACGCCCUAGCAAUAGGGAGUGGCAGACGGGUGAGUAACGCGUGGGAACGUACCCUUCGGUUCGGAAUAACCCAGGGAAACUUGGACUAAUACCGGAUACGUGCGAGAGCAGAAAGAUUUAUCGCCGAAGGAUCGGCCCGCGUCCGAUUAGCUAGUUGGUGAGGUAAUGGCUCACCAAGGCGACGAUCGGUAGCUGGCUGAGAGGAUGAUCAGCCACACUGGGACUGAGACACGGCCCAGACUCCUACGGGAGGCAGCAGGUGGGGAAUAUUGGGACAAGUGGGCGCAAGCCUGAUCCAGCCAUGCCGCGUGAGUGAUGAAGGCCC
rnacentral:rRNA from 1 species